rnacentral:rRNA from 1 species
CGGCGUGCUUAACACAUGCAAGUCGAACGAUGAAGCCCAGCUUGCUGGGUGGAUUAGUGGCGAACGGGUGAGUAACACGUGAGUAACCUGCCCUUGACUCUGGGAUAAGCGCUGGAAACGGCGUCUAAUACCGGAUACGACCUACCCCGGCAUCGGGUGUGGGUGGAAAGUUUUUCGGUCAAGGAUGGACUCGCGGCCUAUCAGCUUGUUGGUGAGGUAAUGGCUCACCAAGGCGACGACGGGUAGCCGGCCUGAGAGGGUGACCGGCCACACUGGGACUGAGACACGGCCCAGACUCCUACGGGAGGCAGCAGUGGGGAAUAUUGCACAAUGGGCGAAAGCCUGAUGCAGCAACGCCGCGUGAGGGAUGACGGCCUUCGGGUUGUAAACCUCUUUUAGUAGGGAAGAAGGGCUUCGGCUUGACGGUACCUGCAGAAAAAGCACCGGCUAACUACGUGCCAGCAGCCGCGGUAAUACGUAGGGUGCAAGCGUUGUCCGGAAUUAUUGGGCGUAAAGAGCUCGUAGGCGGUUUGUCGCGUCUGCUGUGAAAACCCGAGGCUCAACCUCGGGCCUGCAGUGGGUACGGGCAGACUAGAGUGCGGUAGGGGAGAAUGGAAUUCCUGGUGUAGCGGUGGAAUGCGCAGAUAUCAGGAGGAACACCGAUGGCGAAGGCAGUUCUCUGGGCCGUAACUGACGCUGAGGAGCGAAAGCGUGGGGAGCGAGCAGGAUUAGAUACCCUGGUAGUCCACGCCGUAAACGUUGGGCGCUAGAUGUGGGGACCUUUCCACGGUUUCCGUGUCGCAGCUAACGCAUUAAGCGCCCCGCCUGGGGAGUACGGCCGCAAGGCUAAAACUCAAAGGAAUUGACGGGGGCCCGCACAAGCGGCGGAGCAUGCGGAUUAAUUCGAUGCAACGCGAAGAACCUUACCAAGGCUUGACAUAUACGAGAACGGGCCAGAAAUGGUCAACUCUUUGGACACUCGUAAACAGGUGGUGCAUGGUUGUCGUCAGCUCGUGUCGUGAGAUGUUGGGUUAAGUCCCGCAACGAGCGCAACCCUCGUUCUAUGUUGCCAGCACGUUAUGGUGGGAACUCAUAGGAGACUGCCGGGGUCAACUCGGAGGAAGGUGGGGAUGACGUCAAAUCAUCAUGCCCCUUAUGUCUUGGGCUUCACGCAUGCUACAAUGGCCGGUACAAAGGGCUGCGAUACCGUAAGGUGGAGCGAAUUCCAAAAAGCCGGUCUCAGUUCGGAUUGAGGUCUGCAACUCGACCUCAUGAAGUCGGAGUCGCUAGUAAUCGCAGAUCAGCAACGCUGCGGUGAAUACGUUCCCGGGCCUUGUACACACCGCCCGUCAAGUCAUGAAAGUCGGUAACACCCGAAGCCGGUGGCCUAACCAUUUGGAGGGAGCCGUCGAAGGUGGGAUCGGUGAUU